rnacentral:lncRNA from 1 species
UGCUCAACAUGGUCUUCCUACGUCGGCUGAGUCCACGGACCUGCAGGUCUGCCUCUCUUUUCCCCUAUUUUGGCCGGUGUCUGAUGUGGUCCUCUUCGUUCGAGUUGUAGGGAGGAUCUGUGCGGUCUGUCUAUGGCUAGCAUGGGGUUCUUUAGAGGGUAGUUGUUUUUUCUUGUGUUGUCGCGCGUCCAUGGAUCUCAUCAUACAUGUCAACUGCUUUAUUGCAAGAAUAUACACAACUCUGCAUAGCCUCUAAAGAACAACUUAGCAUAGCCUCUAAAGAACAACUCUGCAUAGCCUUUUGAUGAUGCAUAUUGUUGUAAAAACAAUUGUGCUUGUCUUUGUCGAUGUAGGCUUUUGUAUUCUUCCUUGCUUUGUUUAUUAAUUCUGUUUGGUCCUGCCAAAUGCUUGUUGGUUCAUAUUGUUUUUUGGUUCAGUUAUGAGAUGCUGCCGGAGCUACCAAACAAGUCAAUGCCAUAGUAGUUAGGGGCUUGUAUGGUUCUCUUUUAGCCAUCAGGUGCUAUUGCCAUGUGGGUAGGAUAGGUCCUCUGGGAAAGAUGCUCAUGGUAAUUUUGUCCUGGCAGGAGCUUCUGUUGGGUCCGAAUCAUGUUUUUUUUUGUAUCUUUCUGUUGGUUAUUGCUGAUGUGAACUUGGUUUAACUACGGUUUAGCUAUGCAGAGUUACGUAUAUUCUUCCAAUCAUAUUUUUUGUUUCUAUCAACGAGGUCAAUUAGUUAGUUUUGAUUUUUGUUGACUGUCCAUGAUUCAUUCAUGGUCAUUUUCUUGUUAGAUAGUUGAUUUAGAUGUGAUUUUAUUUGCAGGGAGGGGCCGCUGCUUGUUAGUUUGUUAUAGGUUACUGCUUAUUAGUUCGGUCAUGGUGCUUGUUAGUUUACUGCUCCAGUAACAAAAGGAUGCGCCUACCUAGAAAGGUUAGACACAGGUUAUCAACUAACUUUAGGCUGCGUUCGGUUUGUAGGUAUAGAAAACUCAGGACCAGAAAACUACAAAGGAAUAUGAUUGAUUGUACAGUACCAGCCUAUGGGGUUGUAUAACAGACGAAGAGAAGCAUGCGGGGCAUUCGAAGUGUAGGUGUGAAAAGCUUUGUUACCGACGAGACUGUGUACGUUGUGGUGGUAUUUUUUAUUCGCAUGUUACGCUGUCAGUUUGUCUCUUGCCUCAUGCAUGGCUGUACUGUUUAGGUUUUUUAUUUGAAGUUGUGUCGCUUUGCCUCGGGCAUCCGCCCAAAAAUGAGAUUGUAGUGGAUUUUUGCAAUCCUCUGGAAUGAGCACUCGAACGCAGGGUUUCCUUCAAAUUUCUGUAGCACAAUCAUAUGAAGCGAACGGUUCAGAGGUAGACAAAACUAUGGGUUUGCAAACCUGUAGAUUUCCUUUGUUUUUCCUGCAGAUCGAACGGAGCCUUAUAUCAUGCGCCUUAUAUGCUUGUGCAAGAAAUCCAAUUAAAAUUGGUCCGUUGUCCUGCCCCUAUAUGUUCCUUUGCGGCUCAUUUAUCAGUCACAUAUUUAUGUUUUCUCUAUACCAUGCUCAGGUUGACCCUCAUUUAUCAGUCACAUAUUUAUGUUUUUCUCUAUGCCAUUUCCAAACACUCAGGUUGACCAUACUAUUGUGGGAAUUUUUGGCAUAAUGGUUCUUGAUACUAUGUUGGAUCAUCUUGGAAUUCCUAGAGCUAUUUACCGGAGAAGGAUGUACUCACAGAACACAUUGACUGUCAAUGUGCUUUUCUACUGGAGAAAGAUGCACGCAUUUGAGUAUUUCUGUUAGCCAUGUUGGUAAACAAAUGUUUAUUGUAUCCUUACAAUGUUUAUUUCCACCAGCAAAACACUA